rnacentral:rRNA from 1 species
GUUAAAAAGCUCGUAGUUGGAUUUCUAGCGGACGCGUCUGGUCUGCUCCGCGAGGAGUCGGUACUGAGUCGUCGUCUGUUAUCCUUGAGGAGAAUAUUCCUGCAUUAAGUUGUCGGGAGUAGUAUCCUCAUCGUUUACUGUGAAAAAAUUAGAGUGUUCAAAGCAAGCUUAGGCUCUGAAUAUAUUAGCAUGGAAUAAUAAGAUAAGACCCUGGUGGUUUAUUUUGUUGGUUUGCACGCCGAGGUAAUGAUUAAUAGGGAUAGUUGGGGGUAUUCGUAUUCAAUUGUCAGAGGUGAAAUUCUUGGAUUUAUGGAAGACGAACUACUGCGAAAGCAUUUACCAAGGAUGUUUUCACUAAUCAAGAACGAAAGUUAGGGGAUCGAAGAUGAUUAGAUACCAUCGUAGUCUUAACCAUAAACUAUGCCGACUCGGGAUUGGCGGUCGUUUCUAUCCGACUCCGUCAGCACCGUAUGAGAAAUCAAAGUCUUUGGGUUCCGGGGGGAGUAUGGUCGCAAGGCUGAAACUUAAAGAAAUUGACGGAAGGGCACCACCAGGAGUGGAGCCUGCGGCUUAAUUUGACUCA